rnacentral:rRNA from 1 species
CAACGCGAAGAACCUUACCUACCCUUGACAUCCUCGGAAUCCGCCGGAGACGGCGGAGUGCCUUUGGGAACCGAGUGACAGGUGCUGCAUGGCUGUUGUCAGCUCGUGUUGUGAAAUGUUGGGUUAAGUCCCGUAACGAGCGCAACCCCUGUCCUUAUUUGCCAGCGAUUCGGUCGGGAACUCUAGGGAGACUGCCGGUGACAAACCGGAGGAAGGUGGGGACGACGUCAAGUCAUCAUGGCCCUUACGGGUAGGGCUACACACGUGCUACAAUGGCAGGUACAAAGGGUUGCAAUACGGCGACGUGGAG